rnacentral:rRNA from 1 species
CCUACGGGAGGCAGCAGUGGGGAAUAUUGGACAAUGGGCGCAAGCCUGAUCCAGCAAUGCCGCGUGAGUGAUGAAGGCCUUAGGGUUGUAAAGCUCUUUUACCAGGGAUGAUAAUGACAGUACCUGGAGAAUAAGCUCCGGCUAACUCCGUGCCAGCAGCCGCGGUAAUACGGAGGGAGCUAGCGUUGUUCGGAAUUACUGGGCGUAAAGCGUACGUAGGCGGUUAUUCAAGUCAGAGGUGAAAGCCCGGGGCUCAACCCCGGAACUGCCUUUGAAACUAGGUAGCUAGAAUCUUGGAGAGGUCAGUGGAAUUCCGAGUGUAGAGGUGAAAUUCGUAGAUAUUCGGAAGAACACCAGUGGCGAAGGCGACUGACUGGACAAGUAUUGACGCUGAGGUACGAAAGCGUGGGGAGCAAACAGGAUUAGAUACCCUGGUAGUCCACGCCGUAAACGAUAGAUAACUAGCUGUCCGUCACUGUGACGUGGUGGCGCNGCUACGCAUAAGUUAUCCGCCGUCGGGUAGGUACGGUCGCGAGAAUUAAACUACAAUAGAAUUAGACGGCGUGAGACGUCGCCGACGGACGACCGACCGAGGGAGGUAGG